rnacentral:rRNA from 1 species
AACGAACGCUGGCGGCAGGCUUAACACAUGCAAGUCGAACGGGUGUAGCAAUACAUCAGUGGCAGACGGGUGAGUAACACGUGGGAACCUUCCUAGGGGUACGGAACAACUCAGGGAAACUUGAGCUAAUACCGUAUACGUCCGUAAGGAGAAAGAUUCAUCGCCCCUAGACGGGCCCGCGUCGGAUUAGGUAGUUGGUGGGGUAACGGCCUACCAAGCCUACGAUCCGUAGCUGAUCUGAGAGGAUGAUCAGCCACACUGGGACUGAGACACGGCCCAGACUCCUACGGGAGGCAGCAGUGGGGGAAUCUUGGACAAUGGGCGCAAGCCUGAUCCAGCCAUGCCGCGUGAGUGAAGAAGGCCUUAGGGUUGUAAAGCUCUUUUACCAGGGACGAUAAUGACGGUACCUGGAGAAUAAGCCCCGG